GUGCUUGCUUCGGGAGCACAUAUACUAAAAUUGGAACAAUACAGAGAAGAUUAGCACAGCCCCUGCACAAGGAUGACACAAAAAUUUGUGAAGCGUUCCAUAUUUUU
ensembl:snRNA U6 U6 spliceosomal RNA